GCUUUGAUUCAAGUGUCACACACGCCGUAUAACAUAUGUUUUAAACAUUAUAGGUAAUCAAAAUGUGCAAUAAAAAAACGUGUCUAACAAGUUGUGGAACAUCUUGGCUUGUUGUUAGUGCUUUAAUGGCAAUCGGAAUGUUAGUUCAACCACAAGAUACGAAAGUUACUUAAAAUUUGUUGGUCCAAUAAUGGUUCAUUUCUCCUAAUCGACAUCAUUACUGAAAUUACGAUCUGCUUUCAGCCAAGAAAGAGUUUUACAAAAUGUGCCUGUCGUACAUAAUAAUAUCCAUGUGGAUGGUCUACCAUGUCGGAUUCAUAAUUUUAAUCUGGUCCACGCAUAAAUGGAAAAUCGUUAUACCGACUGUUGUAGUUGGCUCCCUGAUAGGGGUACUAAUUGUAGUGUUUUUGGUUCUAAACAUGGAAAAAAUCAGAGCUAUGGAUUGGUACGAUAUUCCACCGUGGCAAAUGGAGACUCAAAGAAGCCGACGUCGAAAGUUUCGGUCCGCCUCGUCCCAAUUGACGAUCAAUGAUUUUACAUGGUUAAUAGUUUGUUUCAUGUUGUGGCUCUUUUCAUUAGGUUGGGUAAUAAUGGUCACCGUAGGUAUUCAUGAAAUGAAAAAGGACUACACUUGGAAAGAAGGCACAGUAGGUUAUAUUAUAUGUCCUCGGAGGAACUAGGCUUCUAUCCCUGCAAGAGCGUUCGUCACAGCCGGGCAAAAUUGAUGAGCAACGUAGAUACUCUCGACUUAUCGGAUGCAGGACGUGCCUAUGUGGAGGUAAAAAUGUAACCAAGCGAUAAAGCAAUCCUUUAUUUUUUAAGUUCAAAUCCAUAAAAGUAAUUAUAAAUGAGUAUAUGCCUCUA